AUGCUUACUCUGAUCGAUAAGGUCAUUGUUCAUAGUGACAGAGACAGGGAGGAGGGAGGCCAGGACUCGGAGGCCGCCAUCAACCGCCAGAUAAACCUGGAGCUCUACGCCUCUUACGUCUAUCUGUCCAUGUCUUACUACUUUGACCGCGAUGAUGUGGCUUUGAAGAACUUCGCCAAAUACUUUCUCCACCAAUCUCAUGAGGAGAGGGAACAUGCUGAGAAAUUGAUGAAGCUGCAGAACCAACGAGGUGGCUGAAUCUUCCUUCAGGAUAUCAAGAAACCAGACCGUGAUGAUUGGGAGAACGGGCUGAAUGCAAUGGAGUGUGCAUUACACUUGGAAAAGAGUGUGAAUCAGUCACUACUGGAACUGCACAAACUGGCCACUGAUAAAAAUGACCCCCAUUUGUGUGACUUCAUUGAGACUCAUUACCUGAAUGAGCAGGUGAAAUCCAUCAAAGAAUUGGGUGACCAUGUAACCAACCUGCACAAGAUGGGGGCCCCCGAAUCUGGCAUGGCAGAGUAUCUCUUUGACAAGCACACCUUGGGAAACAGUGAUAAUGAGAGCUAAGCCUUAGGCUGUCUUCCCAG